AGGCUGUGAUUAUCCAAGUGGGAUAAAAUAUUAAAAGAAUAUUUGGGGAAAUUAUGGCAGCUCUUAAAAUAAGCUUUUCUAUAGUGCAAUGGUCCACAGCCACUUUUCCACAUUAGAUUCCACCAUUUUGCCCGGUGAGGUUUCCUGAUGGAGGACAAACAUGGACAAUCGGAAACAAGAAAAGAGCAAUUCCAGUCAAUAAUCUACAAGCACACCACAGGAGGAUUACUUAGUAGUUUAUGCAUAAUGCAGUUAUUUAAAAUAAUGAUCCCGAAGAUCUGUGAGACAUGGGCAAAUGUUUAUAUAACAUUACCUUAAGACAGCAAAAUAGAAGAUGAUACCUCUGAUGCAGCUAUAUAAAAAACUUAUUGUGAACAAAAAUGUAAGGGGAGAAGCAAAAGUAAUUGUGGUUUCUAGUUUCAGGGACUAUGUAAUUGGGUACGAUUCCCUCCCCCCCCCCCCCCCCCGGGAUUUCUAUAGUAUCUUUUUUGACUAAAAAAAGAAAACUUGAAUAAAAACAGUAAAAUAUAAAAAAAAUGGGCUUCUGGCCUCAGUAGCGUAGUAGUGGGGAGAAACUGGAGAAAGGUCUAUGAAUCAAGUUUAUCAGGGACCUCUAGAAAGUCCCUGUGCAAUGUUCCCAUCCUGGGAGAACUUUAUUUUCUGUAAACCUUUAUUGCAAGGUUUAUCCUCUCUUGGGAUUCCGGAUUUUUCGCUUUUGCAUUAAAAAAUAAUUGUGUGUGUGUCUGUGUUGUUUUAAUUAUUAUUUAUUGCAUUUUGGAACUGAGGCAGACAAAUCAUUUUUGGUCCCGGGCAAGUCCUUUUGAUCUUCAAAAUCUGCCCCGUCUUAGACCCAAAGCUUGUCUCCUUUCACAAGGUCAGUAGCUUCCACCGAAACGUGCGUACAGGAUCCGCUGCUUGGGGCCAUCUCAAGACUUCAAAUUUCAGUCUCGGCUUCCAGCGUGUGGGCCCGAUCGCCGAAGCCCUGCGCCCAACCGCGUCUCCGCGGGGCCGUGCGGACGGCUGGCCGGGAUCCGAGCGCAGCUCCGGCGGUCUGGAGCUGCGGCGCGCGGCCCCCGCGGGCGUGCCCGCUCUGACUCAGCUCUUCCGGCCUCCGCCAGCCGCCGUCCGCUUCCCUGCGUGUGCCGACGCCGGGCGUCACGGCUCACCAGUGCGGGAGCCGCCGGCCCCCGGGCCCUGUCUUCGCGCGCUGCGUUUCUGCCCUGCGGUGACUCAGCCGCUUCCGCCCCGGGCCGCGCGCUGAGCCGCCGCCGCCGCCGCCGCCGCCGCCCCCGCGACGCUCCUUCUUCCGCCCUUAGGUGCGGGCCUUCAAGGUCCUGACCGCUCGUUUAAGCGUCCCUGUGCGGUGCUUGGGCCCUGCAAGGUCCUUCUCCGUAAGUAGAGGAGUUGAGGCCUCAGCUCAGGAAUAUUCCUCAGCCCGCAGUGCAGAGAGUGUGUAAUCUUGACCCGGACAAUUGAGGUCUAGGUCUUCAGAGCCUGACGACCUAUAUUGGAAGUUCAGCACUGCCACUUGCAUGGCGUGUGACCCCCCAGAGAGUCACUUCAUCUAGCCAAGUCUCACUUCGCACGUGGGCGAAAUGGGGGUUUGCUUUCCUUUGAGUUGACUUCAUUCUCAGGCAGGCUUUCCCUAUGUGGGAAAAAAGAUGGCCACCAGCAGCUCCAGGUUACAUUCUACCAAUUUAGUAACCCUAGCAAAAAGCAUCUCUAUCAUUCUCAGAUGAAGAAGGAAACAAGAAGGCAGCUGUCUGCAAGUCAGGAAGAAAAUCCUCACCAGGAGCCAAAUCAGUGGGCACCUUGGUCUUGGACUUCCCAGCUCCCAAAACCGUGAGAAAUAAACAUCUGUUGUUUAAGCCACCUAGUCUAGGUAUUUUGUUAUGGUAACCUGAGCUGACUAGGACAAUGACUAAGAAAACUACUAGAGAAAAUUAGUAAUAGCCUUUGUUGUAUACUCUCUAAAAGAUGUAGAGAAAACAUCUAUGCUUUGAGAGGGAAACCUCUCAAAGGUCAUCAAUUUCUAGUUGCCAAACCCAAUGAUUCUCAUUCAAUUUCCAUUCUUCUUUGCCAUGUUGACUGUCUUUGCCUUCUUUUUGUUUUUUUAAGUUUGUUUAUUUACUUAUUUUGAGAUAGA